GCUCAGGACGAACGCUGGCGGCGUGCUUAACACAUGCAAGUCGAACGGAAAGGCCCUGCUUUUGUGGGGUGCUCGAGUGGCGAACGGGUGAGUAACACGUGAGUAACCUGCCCUUGACUUUGGGAUAACUUCAGGAAACUGGGGCUAAUACCGGAUAGGAGCUCCUGCUGCAUGGUGGGGGUUGGAAAGUUUCGGCGGUUGGGGAUGGACUCGCGGCUUAUCAGCUUGUUGGUGGGGUAGUGGCUUACCAAGGCUUUGACGGGUAGCCGGCCUGAGAGGGUGACCGGCCACAUUGGGACUGAGAUACGGCCCAGACUCCUACGGGAGGCAGCAGUGGGGAAUAUUGCACAAUGGGCGGAAGCCUGAUGCAGCAACGCCGCGUGCGGGAUGACGGCCUUCGGGUUGUAAACCGCUUUCGCCUGUGACGAAGCGUGAGUGACGGUAAUGGGUAAAGAAGCACCGGCUAACUACGUGCCAGCAGCCGCGGUGAUACGUAGGGUGCGAGCGUUGUCCGGAUUUAUUGGGCGUAAAGGGCUCGUAGGUGGUUGAUCGCGUCGGAAGUGUAAUCUUGGGGCUUAACCCUGAGCGUGCUUUCGAUACGGGUUGACUUGAGGAAGGUAGGGGAGAAUGGAAUUCCUGGUGGAGCGGUGGAAUGCGCAGAUAUCAGGAGGAACACCAGUGGCGAAGGCGGUUCUCUGGGCCUUUCCUGACGCUGAGGAGCGAAAGCGUGGGGAGCGAACAGGCUUAGAUACCCUGGUAGUCCACGCUGUAAACGGUGGGUACUAGGUGUGGGGUCCAUUCCACGGGUUCCGUGCCGUAGCUAACGCUUUAAGUACCCCGCCUGGGGAGUACGGCCGCAAGGCUAAAACUCAAAGGAAUUGACGGGGCCCCGCACAAGCGGCGGAGCAUGCGGAUUAAUUCGAUGCAACGCGUAGAACCUUACCUGGGUUUGACAUGGAUCGGGAGCGCUCAGAGAUGGGUGUGCCUCUUUUGGGGUCGGUUCACAGGUGGUGCAUGGCUGUCGUCAGCUCGUGUUGUGAGAUGUUGGGUUAAGUCCCGCAACGAGCGCAACCCUUGUUCACUGUUGCCAGCACGUUAUGAUGGGGACUCAGUGGAGACCGCCGGGGUCAACUCGGAGGAAGGUGGGGAUGACGUCAAGUCAUCAUGCCCCUUAUGUCCAGGGCUUCACGCAUGCUACAAUGGCUGGUACAGAGAGUGGCGAGCCUGUGAGGGUGAGCGAAUCUCGGAAAGCCGGUCUCAGUUCGGAUUGGGGUCUGCAACUCGACCUCAUGAAGUCGGAGUCGCUAGUAAUCGCAGAUCAGCAACGCUGCGGUGAAUACGUUCCCGGGGCUUGUACACACCGCCCGUCAAGUCAUGAAAGUUGGUAACACCCGAAGCCGGUGGCCUAACCGUUGUGGGGGAGCCGUCGAAGGUGGGACUGGU
rnacentral:rRNA from 1 species